rnacentral:rRNA from 1 species
UACAGAGGUCCCAAGCGUUGUUCGGAUUCACUGGGCGUAAAGGGUGCGUAGGUGGCCGGUUAAGUCUGACGUGAAAUCUCCGAGCCUAACUCGGAAACUGCAUCGGAAACUAUCCGGCUCGAGGGUUGGAGGGGGGACUGGAAUACUUGGUGUAGCAGUGAAAUGCGUAGAUAUCAAGUGGAACACCAGUGGCGAAGGCGAGUCCCUGGACAACUACUGACACUGAGGCACGAAAGCUAGGGGAGCUAACAGG